UGAAAGAGAAGUGGAGAGAGUAGUGGAAGAAGGAAGAGAGAAAGAAGAGAAGUUUAUGUUCUCUCUCACAAACUCCAUUUUCGUAUUCCAUGGACAGCUCUCACUAAUCUGAUCAUAACUCUCUGCUCACAACUCCGAUUCAGAAAAACGAGUUUGAAGUUGGAAGAUCCAUGCUGAAUGUGUGUCAAAGAUUGGCUACGGGUUUGAUGAAGAUGUAGUGAAACUUUGGCUAUGGUGGGAGUUCAAUGGCAGCAAAGAACUUCUUUCUAACCUCCCUAAAUCCAAGGUGCAGUUUAGUAGCGUUUGACAGAUAGCAGGUUCGAAUUGACGACUUAAAGUGGUGAUGGCUCGGAGACCUCGUCAGAUCUCAUUUUCCGUUGUGCAGAUCCAUGAAGACACAU